UGGGGAAUCUUGGACAAUGGGGGCAACCCUGAUCCAGCCAUGCCGCGUGAGUGAUGAAGGCCUUAGGGUCGUAAAGCUCUUUCGCCUGUGAAGAUAAUGACGGUAGCAGGUAAAGAAACCCCGGCUAACUCCGUGCCAGCAGCCGCGGUAAUACGGAGGGGGUUAGCGUUGUUCGGAAUUACUGGGCGUAAAGCGCACGUAGGCGGACCAGAAAGUUGGGGGUGAAAUCCCGGGGGCUCAACCCCGGAACUGCCUCCAAAACUAUUGGUCUAGAGUUCGAGAGAGGUGAGUGGAAUUCCAAGUGUAGAGGUGAAAUUCGUAGAUAUUUGGAGGAACACCAGUGGCGAAGGCGGCUCACUGGCUCGAUACUGACGCUGAGGUGCGAAAGUGUGGGGAGCAAACAGGAUUAGAUACCCUGGUAGUCCACACCGUAAAACGAUGGAAUGCCAGUCGUCGGGUAGCAUGCUAUUCGGUGACACACCU
rnacentral:rRNA from 1 species